CCCAGGAUGAGAAGUGGAGCCUUUUCAGCUCAUUUAGGUCCAGUGUGGCCGCAGCUGCUCAGAAACACGAGAUGGAGGAGAAGUACCUGGAGCUACUGAGGAAAAUGGUGAAUAUGGAAAAUCCCCUGAUGAAAUACAUUGAACUGGGAAAUAUCGGCAGUGGGACUUUUGGAGAGGUUUGUAGAGCAUUCGACACUGCCACAGGAGAAGAGGU